rnacentral:misc_RNA from 1 species
GAUGAAGAACGCAGUGAAAUGCGAUAAGUAAUGUGAAUUGCAGAAUUCAGUGAAUCAUCGAAUCUUUGAACGCACAUUGCGCCCCCUGGUAUUCCGGGGGGCAUGCCUGUCCGAGCGUCAUUACAACCCUCAAGCUCAGCUUGGUGUUGGGCCCCGCCGCCCCGGCGGGCCCUAAAGUCAGUGGCGGUGCCGUCCGGCUCCGAGCGUAGUAAUUCUUCUCGCUCUGGAGGCCCGGUCGCGUGCCCGCCAGCAACCCCCAAUUUUUUUCAGGUUGACCUCGGAUCAGGUAGGGAUACCCGCUGAACUUAAGCAUAUCAAUAAGCGGAGGA